UACGGAGGGGGCUAGCGUUGCUCGGAAUUACUGGGCGUAAAGCGCGCGUAGGCGGACCUGCAAGUCGGGGGUGAAAGCCCGAGGCUCAACCUCGGAACUGCCUUCGAUACUGAGUAUCUCGAGUCCGGAAGAGGUGAGUGGAAUUCCGAGUGUAGAGGUGAAAUUCGUAGAUAUUCGGAGGAACACCAGUGGCGAAGGCGGCUCACUGGUCCGGUACUGACGCUGAGGUGCGAAAGCGUGGGGAGCAAACAGG
rnacentral:rRNA from 1 species